CACAAACACCGCGUCCUCUUCUUCAUUGUUUGUCGUUACUCUCUCUCUCUCUCUCAUGGCUUCUCCUUCUCCCAUGGACGGUAAUCGAGGUUCCUUUGGUUCAAAAAGGUCUCGCAACGAUGCUUCGCGGAAAGAUGGAGACUGGACCUGCCCUAAUUGUGGAAACUUAAAUUUUUCUUUUAGAACUGUUUGUAAUAGGGGACAUUGUGGUGCGCCAAGACCACCUGCAACUCCACCUGUUCAAAUUACAAGCCCAUAUAGCAAUGGUCAUCCCCAUCAUCCCCACUUCUACUAUGGAGGUGUUGGGGCUCCUCCUCCUCCCCCACCAUAUGGUGUGUCAAGCAGGGUUGGAUCCCUCAUACCACCUUCUGGUGUACAGUAUGACUAUGGUCUUUAUACUAGGCCUCGUGUACCAUAUAGUCCAGUACCCUCAUUCCCACCUGUAAGCUUUGGAGGUAUUCCUUAUAGUCCGAGGCCCAGAAUCAACCCCUAUGGAUAUGGAUUUCAAAGUCCUCUAUGGGAUGCAGGAUUAACAGAUAAUUUUGCAUCUCGGAAACGACGUGGAGAGCUGGUCUUUUAGACUAUUGAAUUUACAAAACUUUGAGGCUCAAAUGUCCUUUACAACAAUCUCUUCACCACCGUCUGACAGGGGCCAGAUGGUUUAUCCCAAGGGGACUGGAUCUGUCCAAAAUGUGACAAUGUUAACUUUGCCUUUAGAACCACUUGCAACAUGAAACACUGUGGUGCUGCCAGACCUGGCCCAAGUCAACCAAAUACAAGUAUUCCUGAAGGUAGUUGGACUUGUAAAAAAUGUGGGAACCUCAACUACCCAUUUCGAAAUGUAUGCAACCGGAAAGACUGUGGAAGUGAGAGAACAGCCUCUACCAAUUAAACAUCAGCUUUGUAUAUAUGCAUCUUUAGUCCAGCUGUCUAAAGUAAAAGUUUUGGAUUAGAAAUAGAGAACUAGAUAGCUGUGAAUUUUAAGGGAAGGGCUUCCAUGAGGAUAAUUUUGACCUGGUUGUUAAAUGAUAAUUUAUUUUAGUUUUUCUAAUGAUAUUACAUGUGAAAAAUGUAUUGAGAAUCAAGCUAAAUUUUC